rnacentral:rRNA from 1 species
GACGAACGCUGGCGGCGUGCUUAACACAUGCAAGUCGAACGGAAAGGCCCUGCUUUUGUGGGGUGCUCGAGUGGCGAACGGGUGAGUAAAACGUGAGUAACCUGCCCUUGACUUUGGGAUAACUUCAGGAAAAUGGGGCUAAUACCGGAUAGGAGCUCCUGCUGCAUGGUGGGGGUUGGAAAGUUUCGGCGGUUGGGGAUGGACUCGCGGCUUAUCAGCUUGUUGGUGGGGUAGUGGCUUACCAAGGCUUUGACGGGUAGCCGGCCUGAGAGGGUGACCGGCCACAUUGGGACUGAGAUACGGCCCAGACUCCUACGGGAGGCAGCAGUGGGGAAUAUUGCACAAUGGGCGGAAGCCUGAUGCAGCAACGCCGCGUGCGGGAUGACGGCCUUCGGGUUGUAAACCGCUUUCGCCUGUGACGAAGCGUGAGUGACGGUAAUGGGUAAAGAAGCACCGGCUAACUACGUG